rnacentral:rRNA from 1 species
GGACUACCGGGGUUUCUAAUCCUGUUUGCUCCCCUUGCUCUCGCGCCUCAGCGUCAGGAUUAAGCUAGAAAACCGCUUUCGCCACAGGUGUUCUUCCACAUAUCUACGCAUUUCACCGCUACACGUGGAAUUCCAUUUUCUCCGCCAUUCCUCUAGAUCUAUAGUUUCAAAUGCAGUCCCAAAGUUGAGCUUUGGAAUUUCACAUCUGACUUACAGACCCGCCUACGCGCCCUUUACGCCCAAUAAAUCCGAUUAAUGCUUGCACCCUCCGUAUUACCGCGGCGGCUGGCAC